AGUUGGCCAGAGAGACGAGAAACACCCAACCCUUAGUGCUUUCUUCUGAACAAUGGCUGAAUUCAUAGACAGUACUUCAAGUUAGUGUGGGAAAUAUUAUUCAUCUGUGCCAGAGAAAGAAGGAGCAACCCAUGUCUAUCAUUUUCACAGAGGGAAGUUGAAGCUGCACAUGUACUUGGACAUAGGGAAUGGUCAGAGAAAAGACAGAAAAAAGACAUCCCUUGGUCCUGGAGGCAUCUAUCAAAUAUCAAAGCGUGCUCCAGAGGCAUCCCAGCCUAGUGAGAACACCUCUACAUAGAAGUGUAUCCAGGGACCUAUUCUGUCACUGUAGGCGCAAAUUACUUAACCAAGAAGACUUAUGUGGUAGCAGUUGAUUGUAGACAAAGUGUGGACCUGGUCUUCCCCA
rnacentral:lncRNA from 1 species